CCAGCUGGGAAGGACCUCGCGCCCGAGUGCUGCGCCCAGGCCCACAAAGCCGGCCAUCUGGGUGAGGCCGUGCAGGGCAGGGAUUGGGAAGGAGAGACAUUAGCUCUAGCCAGAUCGGCCGCGCGUGCCUCCGUGACGCCGGCCUCCCUCGUGGUCCUUCAUUACCCCACGCUUCGAGCUCCACUGCCGCCCUCUCCUUUCAUCUCCUCUUCCACCACGUGGAUGGGGACGGUACCCUCAAUCACCACCACCGUCGACGGCGUACUCUGCAUCCCUCAUCGACCCAUCGAGUCGCCCUCCCCUUGGGUCCAACCGGCUUGGUUCUAGCGGCGGCGCAAGCUCCAGCCGUGCAAUGGGAAGUGAAGCAAGGUGGGCACGUACAGAUCAAUCAGCAACUCCUUGUCGUGUGGCUACAUCGCCGGCGGUGGUCGGCCGAGUUCAGCUCGCUGCAGUGGCAAGGAGCCGACGGAGGAGCAGGUGGGAGGAGAAGGUGCCGGUGGUGGUUUCGAUCAAUGGGAGGACGCCGCCACCACGGAUCUAAUCCCCAUUCAUCUCCACCAUCGGUGGCCAUGUGCAUGUGUCUCGCAGGAUCCAGCUUCUAUUCACAAUGCAUUUACUGAUUACUCUAAUGCUUUGCUUCAUAUCCAAAGCCUAUCAUCAGACUUAAUUUGCCUUGCACAACCAGGUGACGAAACUUGAAUCCGUGUCAUCAAGAGGAAUAGAUCAGGAGAGGGCGAGAUAUCAGAAGGUUGAAGAACUGAAAGAAACAAUAAGAACAACAGAAGACGCAAAAAAUCAUUCACUCAAAGAGUAUAAGCUUAUUAAGGUAUCCUGCUUUUCAAGUAUGCGGUGCUGUAGUGAACUAGUGAUCGAUUCAUGUGUGGAUUAGUUUACCUCUUUCUAAGGUAUCUUGCUAAUUAUCCUAAAGGCAUGCUAUUCCUUUUUGUUUGUGUUAAGCAGGUAACUUGUAAUGGUUGCUAAUUAUAUAUUCAUGUGCACCAGAUUAUGCUCUUUUGACUUCGUAUCACUUUACUUAUACUUAAUUACAAGCUAAGUAUCUGUUUACUUGUUUCCAUUAAGAAAAGUAUCUUCAAAAUAUGUGAAGGUUAUAUAAGAUCAAAAUAUUAACAUGUAAAUCUGAAAUAUAAACAUCAGUGAGCAAUGCUCCUGCAUCAGGGACUCAGGGUAUAAAUGUGCGUUUUUAGAUUGAGUACAUUCUAUUCCAUUAACCGCUACGACCAGCAAUAUCGUCUCCAGCUACCAAACUGAGCACAAAGUCAGGAUCACCAUCUAGCUAGCCAAACACACGUCAGCGACCUUGUAACAAUGCAUCUUUGUUUCUCAGAUAUUUUUUUGACCUGUAUACUAUUUAUUUGGUUUGUGUUCCUGUUCUUUAUCGAAAAAUAUAUCCAUAUUGUUUAUACACAUUAUUACCUCUCUGUAAAAAUUGAUGUUUUCAGAGAUCCGGUGAAGAAAUGUCCUUCAUCGCUGAGACUAUACUGUUGGACAGUGUCAUUGCUUCUGAAUCAACUAAAGUAUCUGUAAUAUAAACCUGUUGCCCAUGUGUUCAUAUGUGCUUAUCAGUGCAAUAAGCAUCUUUCAUGUCUCUGUUUCUAGCCAUCUGAUUGAUUUCAAUUUCUUUCUGAUAUGCAUCGCGAUAUAAUGAGUUUAUCUACGACCACCUCAUCACUAACAUCCGCAAUAGCAAAGUCACCGCCAACCUAGCCGCAGCCGUAGCCAAGGCUGGCAUAACUGGAUGCGAUAAGACAAAUGGUAAUCUUCUGUACGCAGGAUGUCACAUGUUCUACAAUCUUUGGUGUUUCGGGAUCAUUUGGACAAGUUUACAGAGGAGAAUGACAUGGAACACUCGCUCGUCUUGCUGAGAUGGAGGUGAAGUAUCAAUUAAAGUUCUGGAAAUUGGCCUCCCACUGGGAGGAAUUGCAAAGUUGUUUGCUUAGGAUUUGCUCAUGAUUGUUGAUUAGAACGAACAUAAUUGUCCAUUGUCCUGCUCUCAUUAGAACCCUGUACAACUAGAUCUUGCACUGUCGCCCUUGGAUAUUGGGAAGUCUGAAGAAGCCUGUGGUUUAGCGCGUCUGGGCAUUGGAGUGGGCCAACUACCUGACGAUGGGAAAGAUGGAGAUGCUCUCUGAGCAACAGUUGCUGCGACCAUGAGGUGGCCAACCGUUACUUGAUUAUGACGAGAAGUACCUAAGUUCAAUACCAAAGAUUAGUGAUUCAUGUCAAAAAUUUCAGAGUAGAACAAUAUGUCUUUAGGUUGUCCUUCCCUAAUUAAUUCAGUCAUAGUAACAUUGAUAUGCUAUUUCUUUUUGGCUGCUCACACAUCUUCAUAACUAGUGGUCGCACCCUUGGUGCGCCUCCUGAGUGGUGACUCUGCGGUGCCAGUCCAACUGUUCCAUACCAGAGGAGAGAGGGGAGUGGCGAGCUGUACCUGAGUGGAGAUGUAGGGCCGGCUACCAUGGAGCAUCGGAGGCAUGGCAGUGCUGUGGUCGGCUGCUUGCCGGUAGC